rnacentral:lncRNA from 1 species
ACUAGAAUCUCAGUUUUUAAGUUCUAUUUCAAUAUUAUUUUAAAACUUACGUUCAUAGAUAACCUUGAGUUUGUAACUAGAAGCUGGCCAUACAAGUUUCAGGUUGCAGUAGUUUCUAAGGAAACCACCACAUUUAAACUUGAGCUCAAAUUAAAUAAAAUGGGAUUUAAUGGAGGCUCUUUCCUCAUCUUUGAAAAAUACAAGAUGAUGGAGAAAUUUAUCAAAGAAAAGUAGUCUGUAUCAUGUUUUUGUGAAGUGAUUCAUUUAAGUGGUAAUACACUUUUUUAAAAUUUGAACUAUUGGAAUUUAGGGGUCUGAUAGAAUUCUGGAACUUUCCUAAAGGACAAAUGAGAGAUAUACUUUUAAUUAGUUGAUUCUUUUUUUCGUGCUGUGGGAGUGACUUACUUAUAACUGUAGGGGAGAAAACUAUCAAGUGGCCAGUUGCCAGAAGGGCCAGUUACCAGAAGGACUUUGAAGACUGGGAGGGAGCAGUCUCCAAGUCAAUUUCUUCUGAAACCUGGCAGCUGCCCUGGGAGGACUCAAGAAUUCAGAAUGUUCCAAAGGAAUUUUCUCUUCAAGGCUGGAGACCAAUUUCAUCUCCAGCAUUAGCGGCCAGUUUGAUAAACAGUUUGAGAUCAACUAAGAAUAAAGGAUAAAGUUAAUGGUUAAUCUUCCUGACAGAGUUGCCUAGAAAAUGGAAGCUGAGCUAUCUCAAAUCUGGGAACCAUACCACUGAAACAUGCUUGUAUGCCUACGUCUUCUGGCUCUAAGCACUUCUGCCCUUCUAUUGAGAAGGACUAGCCUCCACUGCCUGUUCUCUGGACAACCUUGUGUCCUCAAAAGCUGUCUGGAGCAAGCCCCACUUCCCAGGAUCACGUACCAGAGCAGCAGGACUCAUUAG